AUUGAACGCUGGCGGCAGGCUUAACACAUGCAAGUCGAGCGAGCGGCGGACGGGUGAGUAAUGUCUGGGAAACUGCCCGAUGGAGGGGGAUAACUACUGGAAACGGUAGCUAAUACCGCAUACCAUUAGAGGUGCCCAGAGGGGAUUAGCUAGUCGGUGGGGUAAUGGCUCACCUAGGCGACGAUCCCUAGCUGGUCUGAGAGGAUGACCAGCCACACUGGGACUGAGACACGGUCCCGACUCCUACGGGAGGCAGCAGUGGGGAAUAUUGCACAAUGGGCGCAACCCUGAUGCAGCCAUGCCGCGUGUGUGAAGAAGGCCUUCGGGUUGUAAAGCACUUUCAGCGAGGAGGCGUUACUCGCAGAAGAAGCACCGGCUAACUCCGUGCCAGCAGCCGCGGUAAUAC
rnacentral:rRNA from 1 species